rnacentral:rRNA from 1 species
GAUUUGAUCCUGGCUCAGGAUGAACGCUGGCGGCAUGCCUAACACAUGCAAGUCGAACUAGUCUAGCGCAAGUUAGAGUGGGUGGCGGACGGGUGAGGAACGCGUAAGAACCUACCCUUUGAGGAGGAUAACUGCUGGAAACGGCAGCUAAUACUCCAUACGCUGAGGAGUAAAAGGCCAAAGGCCGCCAAGGGAUGGGCUUGCGUCUGAUUAGCUAGUUGGUGAGGUAAAUGCUUACAAGGCGACGAUCAGUAGCUGGUCUGAGAGGAUGAUCAGCCACACUGGGACUGAGACACGCCCAGACUCCUACGGGAGGCAGCAGUGAGGAAUUUUCCGCAAUGGGCGAAAGCCUGACGAGCAAUGCCGCGUGAAGGAUGAAGGCCUGUGGGUUGUAAACUUCUUUUCUCAGAGACGAGAUCUGACGGUAUCUGAGGAAUAAGCAUCGGCUAACUCUGUGCCAGCAGCCGCGGUAAU